GAAAUGAUGUACAGCUGUUGCUGUCAGUAAAUACUUGUUGAAAGCUCCUGCCUGAGAAAGAAGGCCCUUUGCGACAGAGCGUGGAACUUACGCCAACCCACAAUCUGGAGGCUUUGAGGUCAUUUGAACGACACAUCAUUUCCCGCAACCCAUGAAAUGAUGUACAGCUGUUGCUGUCAGUGAAUACUUGUUGAAAGCUCCUGCCUGAGAAAGAAGGCCCUUUGCGACAGAGCGUGGAACUUACGCCAACCCACAAUCUGGAGGCUUUGAGGUCAUUUGAACGACACAUCAUUUCCCGCAACCCAUGAAAUGAUGUACUGCUGUUGCUGUCAGUGAAUAUUUGUUGAAAGCUCCUGCCUGAGAAAGAAGGCCCUUUGCGACAGAGCGUGGAACUUACGCCAACCCACAAUCUGGAGGCUUUGAGGUCAUUUGAACGACACAUCAUUUCCCGCAACCCAUGAAAUGAUGUACAGCUGUUGCUGUCAGUGGAUACUUGUUGAAAGCUCCUGCUUGAGAAAGAAGACCCUGCUUGAGAAAGAAGGC